CAGUAGCCGCGGUAAUACGAAGGGUGCAAGCGUUACUCGGAAUUACUGGGCGUAAAGCGUGCGUAGGUGGUGGUUUAAGUCCGUUGUGAAAGCCCAGGGCUCAACCUGGGAAUUGCAGUGGAUACUGGGUCACUAGAGUGUGGUAGAGGAUAGUGGAAUUUCCGGUGUAGCAGUGAAAUGCGUAGAGAUCGGAAGGAACAUCUGUGGCGAAGGCGACUAUCUGGGCCAACACUGACACUGAGGCACGAAAGCGUGGGGAGCAAACAGGAUUAGAGACCCGUGUAGUCCCUGUCUCUUAUAC
rnacentral:rRNA from 1 species